AGGGAACCUGCGGGCGCCUACACAUGCAGUCCCAGCGAUGAUGUUGCUUACCAGAAUAGAGUACAUAUUGUCUAUGUACUUUGCCUAUGCACUGAGCACUGAUAAUUCAGUACUAUCUUCUGUGUAAGUAAUUGAUUAGCGGCAAACGGGUGCGUAACACGUUGAUACUUCCCCCUAAGUCAGGGAUAGCCUGGAGAAAUCCAGAUUAAUACCGGAUAGUCUCGAAAGAGUAAAGGAGCAAUCCGCUCAGGGAAAGGUCUGCGGCCUAUCAGCUAGUUGGUGGGGUAAUAGCCCACCAAGGCAAUGACGGGUAGCUGGUCUGAGAGGACGACCAGCCACAAUGGGACUGAGACACGGCCCAGACUCCUACGGGAGGCAGCAGUGGGGAAUUUUGGACAAUGGGGGGAACCCUGAUCCAGCCAUGCCGCGUGUCUGAAGAAAGCCUUCGGGUUGUAAAGGACUUUUGUACGGGAAGAAAAGGCGAUUGCUAAAUAUCAGUUGCUGAUGACGGUACCGUAAGAAUAAGCACCGGCUAACUACGUGCCAACAGCCGCGGUUAU
rnacentral:rRNA from 1 species